rnacentral:rRNA from 2 species
UUCGCAAUGCCCGAAAGGGUGACGAAGCGACGCCGCGUGCGGGAAGAAGGCCUUCGGGUUGUAAACCGCUGUCGGGAGUUAAGAAAUGUAAGGAUGUUAAUAGCGUCUUUGCUUGACUAAGGCUCCGGAGGAAGCCACGGCUAACUCUGUGCCAGCAGCCGCGGUAAUACAGAGGCGGCAAGCGUUGUUCGGAAUUAUUGGGCGUAAAGAGCACGUAGGCGGCUAUGUAAGUCGGUUGUGAAAGCCUUCCGCUCAACGGGAGAACAGCAUCCGAUACUGCAUGGCUUGAGUGUGGGAGGGGAGAGUGGAACUUCUGGUGGAGCGGUGAAAUGCGUAGAUAUCAGAAGGAACGCCGGCGGCGAAAGCGGCUCUCUGGCCCAUAACUGACGCUGAGUGUGCGAAAGCUAGGGGAGCAAACGGGAUUAGAUACCCCGGUAGUCCUAGCCGUAAACGAUGGGCACUAAGUAGAGGGGUUUU